AAGAAAUUAUAGUAUACAUUUUUUCCUUAAAAAAAUUAGUUUCUACAUACCUUGGUGUUGCUGCUAGGAAUAGUUGCAGUUGAUUGGCAAAGUUAUUUGGAACUACCCUGCCUUUGUUAUUAGAUAUUGCUCUCAAGACAAGAAUCGCUUGUGGAAGUCGUUUACUUUAUGACUGUAUCCUGUUUCUGAAUUCUUUUAUUCAAGGAAGAAUAUGAAGAAAGGAACUUUAUGACUCUGCUUUCACAUGGACUUGCUAAAUCUUUUGAAUGGUGUCCUUGAAUCAAUUUUCUGAACACCAUGCACUUAUGAUUUAUUGUUUAAUGUUAUUUUCAGCAUAAAUAAAUUGGUUCUGGGAAUUUCUUCCAGGAGAGGUUAAAUAAACCUGUUCUCUGCUUCAAGACAAGAAUGGUGAAAUGCAUAGGUAAAAGUAUCCAAUUCCAAGGUAUAAAUUCUAAGUUUUGUAUAUAUAGACAAGCAAUGCAUUAAAUCCAAACCUUGUAAAACUCAUCCUGUUUUGUAUGAGAAUGUGGCAGAAAAGGCAGGCAUUACGUUUUAGGAUCCCAUGGCUUCGUCCAAAACAAAUAUCAAAUUCUUCUUCUAAAUCAGACACUAUUGCUAACAUGUAUAUAGAGAGAAAGAUGAUGUUCGAGACACAAAAAGACAUGAAAAUAGUGAGUUCAGUAGAGCCAGUCACGAACAAUCUUUCAUCAACUUCAACCAUAUCCCCUGAAAACCUUACUCCACAAGUUAGUGCAGUAACUCUGGGUGGUGAAAACAAAGGAGCUACUAUGCACAUAGCUUCAUCAUCUAAGAAACAAAGUUCAAUUCACAUACACCGUGCUUAUAACACCAACCAAACACAAGAUACAACCACCGAUGAAGAUGAAAAUUCAUGCAACGAUUCAAUGGAGAAAACAUUUGUUAACAGUAACAUACAGAGUAUAAAUAAUUCGAUGAUGUUGCAUGGUUCAAUCAAUGGAAGAGACCCUGGUGUUCGUGUGAUUCAUCAACCGCAACCAAGUCUUAAGUCUUUGGACACUGGGAAGGGUGAAAUAGUAAAUAAGUUUAGCCACCGGCCUGAGCCGGUGGUUCGAAGACGGUGCCUGAGAGGGCUUUUAUUGGAAUCGAGUGACUCUGAGCCUGAUAACCCUAACAAGGCUCGUAGACAUGGUUGUAAAGUUCGUUGUGGAGUAUCAAAUUAAACACGUUAUUAAUUUCUGAUAUUUCAUCUUUACUUGUUUACAAUAUCUAUAUAAUGUGUGCUUUUCUUAUUUACUUGCUUUUCUCGAAUCAUCUUAGAUUCCCCAUUCCCUCGUUUCAAUCCACUAGAAGAGAAUAAUGAUAUAAGAGGUUUAUCUUUUUCUCAGUGUAUUUCUGAUUAAAUUGGCUUACUAUUUCUAUUGGUAUUGUCUUCUUUCAAAAUACACUCAUUCUUAUCCUGACAAACAAGGUAGAAUUCAUCUUGAUGAUGUAGCCGCCCUGUGUUUCUGAAUUCUGUGUGCUGCAUCAAGUGUUUAAUUUUUUAAUCCUACUUGAGUACUUCUUACUGGCACACUUUAAAUCUGGAUUGGCACACAAAUAUAAAAAAAUAGAGCAUAUCAUUCCUCUUAAACUUGACCCUACCACUAUUCGUCACAAUAAAAUAUUACCAAUGGAUAAGAACGAACCAAUUACUGAAGCUAACCCGAGCUUAUAUAUAUAUAUGAUAAGAAUAGAAAAUAAAAUUUGCAGUGAGUAAGUCUUUGUUGGUUAACAUAGUGAAAGAAAAAUAGAGCAACGUAAUGGGUUCUCUUAUGGCAGGAUGGGGCUCUUCUACGUUGGAUCAUAAAUCAGCAACACUUGAAAGGAACCGGUCGCUGACCAAAGAAGAAAUUAAUGCUUUCUGGAGAACAAAGAAGAAAAUAGAGGAAGACCACCUUAAAGCUGUUUCCAAGUUAUCAGAGAAUAUUCAGGUGAGCAAUUAUAAGGAGUUUGAGAAGAUUCAUAAGUCAAGUACAGUGCCUUUGGCUCGCAUAAAAGAGUCAUUAGAUAUUGAUGAUGAUGACACAAAUUUGGACCAACUUAUCAACAAAAAUGACUGGUGGACGAAGAGUCGGUGGGCUUUCUUGAAUGAACCUCCAAAAAUGGAAGCUGCUUCCAAUAAGUAUGUAUCGCAGUUUCACGUAGCCAACUUGGGAUCAUCAAAAUUUAACACUUGAAAUGGAAAUGGAAAUGGAAAUGGAAAUGGAAUUAACGUCUAAUACAACUAUGUAUACACACGAAUAUAGUUGGAGUGAUGGUUUAUGUAAAUAUAUAUGCUUUAUGUGUUUCUCUUGAAUAAAUGACCAUUAGUAAAACAUGAAGUGAUGGUUUAUGUAUUUUACAAGUAUAAACGUGACAUUUAACUCAAUUUAUACCUAUUUUCA
rnacentral:lncRNA from 1 species